rnacentral:lncRNA from 1 species
AUGUGCGUCUGCCUCACCCAGCGCCCAGCUCCGGGCCUGCUCACGUGGGUGAAAGGAGGGCCGUGCGGGGCCCACACACGUCUCAGGGAGGCUGCGCUGGGGAGGGGGGUCUCCCAGAGGGGGCUCAGAGAACAGGCCUUCUUUGAGAGGCUGGGGGAGUGGGGAGGGGCAGGGCCGGAAGGCGGGUCCCAGUACAAAGGGUUCUGUCUGCAAAGUCAGGCCUGCACCUGGCCUGCCCCCCCCAAGCAUCCUCCUGGAAGAGGGGCCCAGGCCUCGGACCAGGAGCUCUCAGCCCAGGGGAGCCACCUCCCGCGCUCUGGGGCUGGCUCAGAGGGCCCUGGCCGGCACAGGGUAGCAGGCCUGGGCACCCGCUCUCCUGCUGUGCAGAGCGCAGGGGCCAGAGCCCCAUGCAGCAGCUUCCUUCUGAGGCCAAGGGGUGCAGGGGUCCCAGGCCGGAUCCCCUGGAGGCCACAGCGGAGGCAGAGGCUGGCACACCUCCCCUCCCCAGAGAACUGCUGCACACCCCUUCCUCCUCUGAAACCACAGACGUGGGAGCAGCUGUCGAGCAGGAAAAGUCACAAACACCCAGCGCCCUCAGCGCCAGGAGGGCAAGGGUUUAAUCCUCUUCUCCCUGCAAGAGAGGUCGCGGAGCAACCCCAUGGAUCUUCAUGUCCUUGUCCCAGUCCUGGUCUCCGCGCCCGUGUCUCUGGGGGUCUCCUGCCCUCCCCUCUGCAGACCCUCUAGAGAAGGUGAGGCCUGAGCCAUCCUCUAGGAGAAUCGGGGCAGCUGCCAGGCUCGAGACAAAGGGGGAUGGGGCAGGAGGGGGCCAGGAGUCCAUGCCUGCAGCAGCCUGGCUGCUAAUUCUCUCUAAUUGCUUUAAAGUUGUACUAAUUGAACUGAUUGAAAACAGAGUCUGGGGGUGAGGGGUCUGAAGGAAGGAAAGUGUGUCGCCCAAGAUGUCGGGAGCCCAUCCCCCAGCCCAAGCUGACGCCUCUCAGCUGCCCAGGGCCUCAGCCAGGGCAGCUCUUUGUCUCCUGACCACAGGCCUCCCCUGAGCCCCCUGCCAGCCCUGGAGUCGUGGGCCGAGGGGGGGGAGGGGCCAGACAGAGCCAGGGAGUCUCCGAACAGGACGGGCCGGGCCGCGCUCCCUCCACGCACACAGCCCACGGCAUCAUGCAGCCCAGCGCACCGGCCGCCGGGUGUACCCGACGAAUCCCCCGGACAGGCCUGGGCCCGGGACCAGGGGCCCUGCAGCCCACCCGCCUCACGUUGACGUGGCUGUGACACAUUUGCUCUGCACCUGAGCAGGAGACCCGAAAGCAGGCCCGGCCCAUUCCCCCCCCAGACUCCAGGGAAGGAGCCGGGACACAUCUGGGGAGGUGAGUGGCCCCUCACAGGCCCAAGAUGCAAAAGCGGGUUUUUGUUUCUCUGAUAAGCGCGCCAUCGCCCUCGGUGUCCGGUCACUCCGCGGGCACAGAGUCCACCCCUUCCUUCUAGGCCUUCUCCUCCAACAUGCGCUCUCGCUGUCGCAUUGGGGGGGCUCCUCACGCCCCCACCGCCCCCAGAAAGGGACUCAGUCCCCCCCCAGGGUGUGCCACUCCACUUAUGGCCACCAGGUGCCACUGUGGACCGCGUGUCCUGCACAGCCCUGUGCCUGGCUCUGCUGGCGCCGUGGAGCGAGCUCCCGUGGAGUUGGGCCCUGGAGGAGUCUCCGACCAGCUUUAGUCUAGACGCGCACACCUGUGGGAGGGGCUCUAAUAGCUUUUCAGCUCAGGAGAGAGGGGGCUGCUGGGACCGGUCUUUCCUCCAAGAGGCUCCAGGCAAAUCCGUCGUCCUCCCAAGCUGGGCCAGGCACCUGGUGGCCCCCGCAGGGAGGGGAAGCAGUCAGAAGAAACCUCCGGAAGAUUCUGACCACAAAAAGUGCUCAGCCAAUCUCUCUGUACUGCGGGGGACCAGACACGACUCCAGAAACACCUCCUGGAAGACCAACCAGUCACGCAGAAAGUUCGGAAACAGAGCCCUAGGCCUGCUGUCAGGGGGGGCAGGGGUCACGGUGCCCAGGUCCGGGUGAGGGGUCUGUUCCCCCAGAGGAGCCACCGGCCUGAGCCCUGGGUGGCCAGGCUGCCAAGGGCCCGAGGGGCUGCGGGCAGGAGGGCGUGAGGGCAGCGGUGGCGCAGGGGGAGAAGGGGUUCCCACCACGUCCUGUCACUGGGAACGGUCGAGCCUGAGGGAUUGUGCACAAACAGGAGCACACGUGAGGCGGCCCCAACCCCCUGCGAGGCCCCCAGAGCAUGGGAAGCCCUGGGCGUACGAGCCAGCUGGGGCUUGCGGACAGGACGCGCACAAGGACAGCAGUGACCUCAGGGAGCCCGCGGUUCAGUCCUUGGCGACUCCCAGGGCCGCUGAGAGAUGCCGGGGAGGGGGGGCUGCGUGGGUGGGUGCGGCCCGCCCUG